UUCUCCUCUCUCUCUCUCUCUCUCUCUCUCUCUCUCUCUCUCUUUUCCCCAAAUCAGCUUCUUAAUUAAUAUUUGCAUUGUGGUUUCAUUUCAUAUUCAUUUUCCUCCUAAAUUUCUUCCUUUCACUUUUUUUUUUAAUGUCUAAAAGGUGGAAGACCUGAUUGCCAUCAGAGAAUUUAUUCAGUGAAAUACUUCAUUGAUCAAAGCUAUAGGCGGACCUGACUGGUUUCAUAUCAUUUUCAUUUGCCGAUUCAAUUAAGGAACCGAGGCAGAUAGAACCAGAUCAAUACAAGAGAGAGAGAGAGAGAGAGAGAGAGAGAGAGAGAGAGAGAGAGAGAGAGUAUAUUACCAAGAAAAAAUGGAUAUUAUCAAUAAGAGAGAUUACGUUUUCAAGAAAAAAGGGAGAGAGAAAAUUAUUUUAUUUUAUUUUUAUGAGAGAGAAAAUAAAAUUAAUGAUUGUUUAUUUAAAACAUUAAAACUAUUUGUCAUGUUAGAUUUAUUCUCAACCAUUAAAAGUAGAGUAAUCUAAUGGCCCAAAAAUUGUGUCAAAACUUUUGUCAAAAAUAUGGUGCCACGGAUCCACUAUAUAUAUAUAUAUAUAUCACAAAACAUCCUGAGGUUCACACACCUAUUACAAAUUAGGGCUAGACAAUUAAACCAUCAACUCAAAAAAUCGGCCGAACCAAACCGAUCAGAUUAGUUUGGUCUGAUUAUUUAUUUGUUAAUUAUUUAAUAUCGGGUUUUGGUUUACAAUUUGAGAUUUUAAAUGAACCGGACCUUCACUAUUGGCAAGCCAAAUAUUACAAAAAUAUAUAUAUAUAUUUUGCAACAAUGGGGUUCAAAAACCCCACACCUCCAGGUAAGAAUUAUUCUUGCUUUCCACUGGAGCAAUCAAGCUUCUUGUGUAAUCUUUCCAUAAAUAUGAUAUAUAAUUAGUUACUCCCAAUAAUAAAUAUUUUUAAAAAAAAAAAAGUGAGAGCAUGCAAGUAAACAUUAUGCAUGCACAUCUGCACUGAAACCAACGUUCUAAUUCUUUUUCUUCUCCUCAUAUCUCACCUCUCUCUACGCCCUCAUUUUUUAUUUUUUUUCCCCAUCUUCUUCUUCAUUCAGUCACUUUCCAUCUCUCCCUCUCUUUUUAUUUAUUUUUCCUUCUUCUCUUUCUCUCUCUUUCUUUUCUUCCUCCUCCUUCCCUCUUUUGCGUUGUCUCCCAUGUCUCUCUCGUUUUUCUAUUUUUUCCAUGCUCUCUCUUCUUUCUAGGGGUGGGCACUCAAACCGGCGAACCGGAAAUCCGAGCCGAACCGCACCGAACCAAACCGGAAAAAAACCGAGUUGACCAAAAAGUCAAAAACCGGUCAAAAACCGAACCGGACCGGUUUGGACCGGUUCCGGAUCCGGUUCCAUGUCUUCAAAAACCGAACCGGGCCGAACCGAACCGGUGAAACUAAAAAAAUAUAUAAUUUCAAUAUAUAUUUAUAUUUAAUGCUAUAUUUUUAAUUUCACUAAAAAAAACAUAAUAUUUAUCCAAGUUCAAUGUCAAAAUCUCUCUCUUUUCUCACUUUAAUAUUUAUUUUUUAUAUGAAAUUGAAUAAUUUGUUAAUUUUCAAGUAAAAAAAUAAUAUUUCAGUUGAGAAUUGUAUUAAAAAAUAAUUUAAAAAAAUAAUUUUUAUAAUCCGGUUCAAAACCGAACCGGAACCGAAACCGGACCGGAACCGGUUCAAACCGAACCGGACGGUUUUUGAAAUUUUUUUUAUUAAAACCGAACCGAACCAAACAGAAUGAAUAGUAUCGGAUCGGUUCUAAUUUGAGGCAAAAACCGGUCCAAACCGAACCGUGCCCACCCCUACUUCUUUCUAUUGUUUUCCAUCGCUCUCUCUUCUCUUCCUUCUUCUCCGUCUUCUUCCUGCGGUCUCUGUCUUCUUCUUUUUCUAUUUUUUCCCUUCUUCUUCUUCCUCUCUUCCCUAUCUCAAUCUCUCCUUAUGUCUAUUUUUUCCCAGCCUACUUUUUCUCUCUUCGGCCUAAACCCGAAACCGAACCAAACCAAAUCACAAACUUCGGUUAACUAGAAUGGUCGGUUUCACAAGUUAUGGUUCGGUGCACGAUUUUCAAAAUAGCUAACCCGAAGCCUUCUGUUCGGUGUUCAGGUUGAGCCUAAAACCGAACCAAUCCAGACCGAGCCCACACCUAGCACAAAUGGUCCUUGCGAACUUUUUUUAUUUUUUCAUUUAAAAUUCAUAAAAUUUUGGUUUUCUUUUUAAAAUUAUUUUAAAACAUAUAUUGUAUUUUAAAUACACAUGACACUAUAUUAUCAUAGAUGUAGGCUCCAUAUAUAUGCCACAUCAACAAACUAAUGAAAUUUUUAAAUGAUCCUCAAGGUUAAAAUCCUUCUAUAAAUAAGUUUUUUUAUAUUCCAUCUCCAUUGUAAAACUCUGUUAUCUAUCUCUCAUUUCAGGAUUUGAAAUAAGAAUCUCCAUAAUAUUAGUUCCAUUAAAAUCUCGGUAAAAUGAAAUUGCCAAGCCAAGAUGAGCCCAUUAGAUGAUUCUGACCCAUACAGAACAUCUGAACUAAAAAGAUUGGAUAAAAUACAGCCACAUUUCAUAUGCAUGCCACCUCUGGUAUUUGGAAAAGUUUGUCUCCCUGAUUUGUGGUCUUGGUGAAGCUCUCACAUUUAUCUAAAAUGCCGGGAGUGUAAAUUCUCUCUCCUCCAAAAAAAAAAACAUAAGAUUUUGCUGUGGCCACUAAAUAAUAUGAAAACUUCUUUACAUUUGAUUAUAGUUGAAUAUGAUGAAUAGGGUAUACUUAUUAAAAUAUAUUUAUUUUACAAUUCAAUAUAUCUUAUUUGUUCAUUUUAUAUUAGGAUAAAUUAGUAAUUCAAUAAAUACUUUAGUAGUAGGGUGUACUCAAUUAAUUUUAGGGUUUGUUCAGUAGCACUCUUCAGUUAAUCAUAUUCUAUCUGCUAUCAAACCACUGUUGUUGAGAACUUCUAGUAGUUGUAUUUUCUGGUUAUCAAAUUCUAGUAGUUAUUCAUUACUCCCAUUUAGCAAAUGUUAGUUGCAAUCAAUUUCAAGUUGCAACGACCUCUACUCUCUAGUAGUUAUUUAGUUUUACCCCUCUCGUUUAUAUUAAUUAUCUUUCAUCCAUUCUUCAUUCCCAUCUCUCUCUCUCUCUCUCUCUCUCUCUCUCUCUCUCACAUAAUCACCCUGGCAACUUUCUAUACCACAUUACAAGCUUUGAUUAAUUCCUCUUAAUUAACCAUGGAAAUUAAUGCAAAAGCUCAACACCGCUCAACCACAGAGCCAUUGCUCCCAAUUUCACGCAACCCUUCAAACCCAUCGUGUCCAGUCAAUCGCAUCCCAAUCCAUUGCAAGAUUAGUACACGUCCACCGCAUUCUAUUACUUGCAUUAGGGACAUUCACAUUGUUAUGCGUCUUCAUGCUCCCGCCCACACAGACCCCAAAAAUCCAACUCGACUCACUCUUCAUGUCCAAGCUUAACGUUUCAAACACGUCACUAGAGGCCAAUUGGGACAUGGCCUUCACCGUAGAAAACCCCAAUAUGGUCUCUUGGGUUUAAUUCAACCGCAUAGAGGGUUCAAUUCUGUACAAGGGCAACCCUCUCGCGACAUACUCUGUUGAGCCAUUUGACUUGGGAUUGAAGGAACAAAGAUUGAUGCGUGUGAAGAUAUCAAGGACCGGAUUACAGGAUGAGCCGGAGAUGAAGGUGUCGGAUUUGGAAGAAAUGAAUAAGCAACGUGAAGAUGGUGCUGUGAGUUUGAAGAUGGAAAUGUUUGCAUGGGCUACGUAUAAGAAGGGUUGGUGGGGAACAGAAGAUGUCAUGAUGGAGGCUCACUGUUUGGAUUUGAGGGUUGGUUUCUUGCCUAAAUUUGGGUUCGGUUGCUGUAUCAGCCUAAGGCCGAUGACUUGCUCUACUGGUUCGUAUGCUAGUUGGUUAAAUCGGAAAGUUGUUGAUUUUUUCUUUAGGCAGGACUAGGGUUUUUAGUCUGAGAUUGUAAUUUGAUGGAUGUAGAUGAAGCCUGUAAAUUAUGAACAAGGAAGAACUUGUCUUUUCUUCUCAAGGGAAUGCAUGCAUCAAAAUUGGAGACAAUGUCAACAUUCUUUUUUAUCUUUAUCCAUGUGUAAAUUGAAAAAGGAUAUCACAAUUACAAAACCUUCCACUAAACGUUUGUGGCUAUAUUUUUAAUCAAAUCAUAAGAAAAAAAAAAUUCACCACACACAAAGAAAUUGAACAUAUAUAAGAUCUCUAGAAUGGUGUAUACUUCCGUGUGUUUCGAGAAUAUAUUAUAUAUGAAACUCUUUUUCAUUAUAAAAUUUAACAAAAAGACGUAAAUUAUAAAAAAUUAAAAAUGCACGAACCAAAAAACUUAAGUGGUACCUAGUCAAACCUCGUCCAAUCAAACUCACCAUCAACUAUUAUAAACUUAGGUUGGGUAAUUUUUCAAUGUGAGACAAACUCUCAACAAACCCAGCCAAUCAAUCUGAGUGAGAUCGACUAACCGAGAGAGAGAGAUGUUGAGAAAUGUUUUGGCGGAACAGAUUCUCCAAUUUUGGAAACACAAUUUCAUUCUUUUGUUUUCACUUUCGAAAAUAAUUUGUGAAAACAUUUCCAAAAAAUGGUGCCGAACUUUUCUACAUUGAUAGGGAAAACAACCUUAAUGAUAGUGUUUGGUCUACUUUUUACUCAGAUUAUAGGUAAAGACUCUCGCUCCUAAUUAUAUGUGUUUGACUUGGUUUAGAUCUUCCAUGCACUGUUUUGUCUAAUAAAUUGAAGUGCUAAAAAGAGCAUUUUAAUUUUUUAAUUUUUUAAUUUUUAUUUUUUUUUGAGGCGGCUUAUAAAUGUCAGAGAUGGCCCCCUUGAUACUUCAACAAACCUUGCAACUCAGGUAAAUCAUGUACGAAUAUAUUCGUUAAUUUUUUUCUCUCACGUAUGAUUAAGUAUGUAGGUUGACACUUGAACAACCUUCUAUUUCUAGAGUUUUCGCUCAGCUAACCAUUUUAUUUGUUAUCAAAUGACUGACAUUUAGAAAAUCCAGUAGUUAUUCGUUAGUCCCUUUUAGCAAAUGUUAGUUGGACUCAGUUUCUGUUUAUAACCUUCUAUUCUCUAGUAGUUAAUUAGCUUUACCCUUCUCCUUUAUAUCAACUUUCCUUCCCCCAUUUCUUCAUACCCAUCUCUCUUUCUCCCCGAAACCCUAGUAAGCUGGAUUAUUGCAUCACAAGCAUAAGUUUCUAUUAACCAUGGAUUCUAAUAGAACAGCACAGCGCUCAGCCACAAUGCCACUACUCCCAGUUUCAUACAACCCUUCAAUUUCAAACCCCAACAUAUCUCUGUCUAUCACAUCUCGAUUCACUGCGAAACUAGUACUUCUCCACCGGAUUUUGUUGUUCGUGUUAGGGAUCGUCACGUUGCUAUGCGUAGCCAUGGCCACAUCCUUAGUUCCACAGCCCCCGAAAAUCAAACUCAACUCUCUCUUGGUGUCGAAAAUUAACGUCUCAAACACAAAGCUAGGGGCCAACUUUGACGUGGCCUUCACAAUAGAGAACCCUAAUCUAGUCUCGUGGAUUUACUUUGACCACAUCGAUGGUUCGAUUUCUUACAAAGAUAACGCUCUCAUAACAUACUCGUUGGACCCUUUUGUACUGGGAUUGAAGGAACAUAGAAUGAUGCGUGUGAAGAUAUCCGUGAAUGGAUUACAGGAAGAUCAGCCGGUUGUGAAGGAGAGGGUUUUGGAAGAAAUCCAUAGGCAACGUGAAGAUGGUGCUGUGAAUUUCAGCCUGGAAAUGUUUGCACGGGCUACGUAUAGGACCGGUUGGUGGGGGACAAAGUCUGUUUUAAUGAACCCUCAAUGUUUGGAUUUGAGGGUUGGCUUCUUGCCUAAAGUUGGUUUCGGAAGCUGGAUUAGUGGAGGGCCUAUGACUUGCGCAGUUCCAAUGCUAAUUGAUGACUAAAUUUGAAUUUCUUUUCCCUUUUUCAAGUUACCUAGCUAGGCUUUUUGGUUUUAGUUACAAGGGAGCCUAAAUUAAGCCUUUUAAUUGGAGGUUGUAAUGUAAUGUUACUAUCUAGUAGGAUCUUGCAAAUUAAAAGUAGAGUUGAGCUUUGUUUCCAACGGGCACUAAAAAAAAAUCAGCAAUAGUCACCUUUUUUUUCCGUGACUUUUGAAAGCAUUGGUCACCUUUAUUGGUAACUAAAAGCUUUAGUAACGAUGCAGCUACAAAUUUUGAGUUGGUGAGAUUUGUGACCAUUACUAUUGGCCUUUAUCACCAUUAAUAAAGAAAGUGACAAACAAAAUGUUGACUUUUCAGUUACCUUUACACUUAUAUUUUUUUAUUUUUUUUAUCUUUAAUUAGUUUAAUAAUUUUCUGAAUUAUAUAUGUUUUAAAUAAUUACAAUUUCCUUUUGAUAUACUUUAAUGGCAUAAUAACAAUAAUUCCUUUUUUUUCUUUUUUUUCUGAUAAGAUAAUAAUAAUAAUUCCUUGAUAAUGCACUUCAUGUGUAAAAGAGGCCUCUAAUAUUAUUAUUUAAUUAAAUAUAAAUACUCAAUUGAUACAUAAUGGUAAUUAAGUAGUACAAUAUUUUCCUAAUGAAUACAAAAUUUGUACAAUCCUAUGCAAACAAUAAUACAUACACGCCUAAGAAGACCUGUAGCUAGUACUUUCUAAUCCAAGCACUCCUCCGAUCCUACCAUACAAACGAAUGAAGCAACUGAAGUGUCCUCCAUUCCUGCAAUUGAAGUGUCCACCAUUCCUGUAAGUAAAUCCAAAUGACAAAGAAUGAAAUUAAAGAGUCCCAAGUACUAGAAGUUAGUAGAUAUUCAAGCUUAAGGAAUUACAACCUCACCCUCUUCUUUUGUAGUUGGUAGCAUUAAACGUUCAUUUGUCUAUGGUGAAGGGAUCUGAUCAUUGUUUGUAGUGAACUAAUAGUAGUUCACAUAUCAUAGUUCAAGAAGAAGUUAGAGGUAGAGCAAGGGCAUAGUUCAAAUAGGGAAAGAAAGAGAAAAGGGAAGAUCAAAAUAAAAUAAAAUCUAAGAAAAUAAAAAUCUUGUAGUAAUCUAAAUGAAUAACCCCAACCCACCAAUGUUCAAGGGAAGAGAAACUCAGAUAAAAUAACAUCUUUACAACUCAGAAAUAGAAAAGGUGAAUUACAAAGAGUAUAUUAAUAAAAUAGAAUAAAUUUAAACGGACCUGGGAAUAGAGGUGCCUCUAGCAAUUCCACUGCCCCUGCAGAACUUGAUCUUCCUACAUCAUAGAAUAUCAAAGAAUAUAUUAAUAUAUAAAAAAGUAGAAAGAAAAAAACUUAUACAUAAAACAAAAUACAAGGAAAGUCAUGACUGAAGCAAGCCCUACUCUAGCUCUCAGAUCUGAGAUAUAACAUCUCAUAUUUGAGAUUUAAUCUAAAAGGACCUCCCAGAGCCAAAGAAACUCGCUAGAAAAACUAGGGAGAAAUAACAAACUCUGUCAAAAGCAAGGAGAUAACCAAAAAAAAUGGAGGGAUCGGGGUGAAAACCACCGGAUCUAAAAAGAAAAAAGGGGUUGCUGGGUUGUUUUGAGAGAGAAGAGCUUAUAAAAGAAAAGGGGUUGCUGGGUUGUUUUGGGUUGUCAAAAGCAAGCCCUUUAGAAAUUCAACUAGAUCAAGUAAUCUCACACUUUAAAGAAAAUGGGUUACUUUAAUGGUUAACCAAUGUAAUAUUUAAUUCUUUUUUUAUACGUAUUUCCAUUUUUAAUGUGUUCUAUACAUAUUUAAUUGGAUUACUAUUCUCAAGGAAGAUUAUCCUCAAAUAUUAUAUUUAACAAAUUACUGCUAUGUGUCAGUUGGUUUACAUUUAUUAUAUUUAAAUCAAUAGUCACCAAUUCUUUAAAGUGUGAGAUAAUUAGUCACAAAUAAUGGUGACUAGUAACCAAAGUCAUUAAUCACCCAUUCAAAUGUCACCAAAACUAUUUUGUUGCUAUAAAAAUGUGACUAAUGCUUUCUUUUUUUGUAGUGGGGAAUCUAUCAAAAUAGAAGUAAAGUUAUAUACGUACAAAUAUUUUGGUGAUAUUGUCUCAUGGAAGACGCAUAAAACCAUGUCUCUGUGAAAUUUUUAGAUGCUUGUAAAAAGCCUCUUCUACGUGGAUGUAUUACCUAAACUUGAUCGAGGACACUUUUUAUUCACAUACUAAGAAAUAUUUUAACUAGAUGCCUUCAAAAUAUAGUUAACUAAAUAGAGGCCUUCACUACACAUGCCAAAAUUUAAAAAGGAACAGAUGGAUUUGUGGAAUUUGGACAUCUAAUUCUAUUAUAUUUGUUUCUGUAUAAGCACUACAAGUUUGAAAUUGGCACAAUAAACUUUAGAUGAACUCUCAAAAUGAAACCGUUUUUGGGGUGUUUUGUUGUGCACUCUAGCGAUGUGGAAAUACUCGCUUGACCUAGUUUGAUGUCGAAUUACUUGGAAGUAAAUAGCUUUGAAGAAAGUUGAGGUUGAAACUUAAGUUUGGAUACUUCAUAAAGAAAUUUGGCUUUAAAAUGACUAUGGGUGCUUAAAAUCCAAUCAAAAUGGCCUAAACUGACUAAUCCAGUCCAAUCAAAUGCACUUUUGAUCAUUUUGAAGGCCUUAGGCAGGUUGAAUAUAGAUAGUUGUGUUCAUACUUUUUUGCUCUCAUACACGUGCGAUUGAAUAAAUUUUGAUUAAUUUUAAGUCAAUCAAAGUUAUGUUUAGUCCAUUUGAGAUCCUGUAGGGGCUUUUUCUUUUCGGCAGCUACUGUGGGCCUAGGCUGCUGUAAAGAGCUAAAUGUGUAAAAAUUGUCUCUGGGUCUGAGUUCAAGAAUUAGGCCCCGAGAAUGCUUCGAAAGGGUAGCUAAGCCUUAGGAAGCACCUUGGUUACCUUCACUAACAAAACUAACAGUUACUUACAGAUAAAUUCUUAGCUUUGACAUGAUAGACUUGUGGUAUGGAAGCAAAGCAAUCAUGAGUUUAGCAUUGAAGAGAGAGAGAGUUGUGAGUUCAUAUGAGAAACAUGGGUUCUAAGGAGAAGGGGAAGGGAUUCUAAGUGGGUUUUUUGAAGAGAGAGAGGGAUGAGGGUAUAUUAGGUGUGUUGAGUAGUUUCCGGCAGCUCGAUGAAAACUCUGUCAAACUUUGGAACAGUUUACCAAAAGGAAAAAUGGGGAGAGAUGGAAGGAGAUGAGGCUCGAAAUUGCAGAGGUUUCAGAGGUGAGAGAUAAAACUUGCUUUCCAGAUAUGUGUUGUUUGGGAUAAAGAAGAAGGAGAUAGAAGGUGAGGCACUUGGGCUUGAUGUUUCCAGCAGUUGGAGAAUAAGCUUGCUCAACUGCUCUGGUUGAGUUUAAUGAGUAGGAGGUACCUUCUUUUAUAGCCGCUAGAAGCUCCUCCUUCUCAAGAAACCCUAAUGGGUUCUCUCCAAUUUUGCCAAGUCUCCCCUUUCACCCCUUUCAUUUCUCUUCUCUCCCUUCGAUCCAUCCCAUUUUGUGAAAUUCUCUUCUGCCCAAUACUUUAUCAGAUUUUUGGGAAUUCAGAAGUUUUCCCGCAGCCAUUCCAGUGGUGAUUUCUUAUUUUUGGCUAUCAUCUCUCAUCCUUUCCUCCCUUAUUUCAUGGCAAGAUCUGGUAAAGGAAGGAGAUAGGUAAAUUUGGCUAGUCUGAAGGCUGCCUUUUCUCUUGCGCGCACCAAUAUCCUCUGGUUUUUUGAGCGAUCUGCCUUAAGGUUUGUUUUGCCCACUUGCUAGAGCCUCCCAGCAGUUCACAUACAUGGGCAACUUUGGCUUUUGUCUUGGCUUUUGUCUCCAGCUAAGUGAUGGAGAUUGCAGAUAUUUUGCUUGGUUGCUUGGGCCUUCCUAAGGUGAUGGGUUAACCCAUUAAGGGAAUGGGCUAAUUUCCUAAAGUGAUAGGCUAUUUUAUUGAGAUGAUGGGCUAAUUUUUCCUAAAAUAUUGGGCUAUUUCUCUCCUUUAUUCUUACCCACAUAUUUGAGCUCAAGAAAUGGGCUUGAGUUUUAGGGCUCUCAAGCAACCCAAAACUUCCAUUUCUCGGCUCAUCAAUAAGCCUCAUGAAAGCUCAUUACCAUCCAUACCACAACCCACUCAGCAAGCCCCGAGCAUUUUUCAUGGCUUGGGCCCACUUAAACUUGUAGCGUGGCUAGGUAAAUAAUAAUGAUUUUUCGCUUGGCAUUGCAUAUCGUUUGGCAUGCUUGAAUUUUGUCGCUUUGAAGAGGGAUAUGAAGCUUGACAGGAUAAUUAGCUUGGGGUCGUAAAGCCAGUGCUUAUUUCAACUCUUAGCAUGACAGAUUACAUAUUUAUUUGGCAUGGCACGUGGAUCAUGACUCGUGCAAGCGUGAAUGACAAACCUUCGCGUGCUCCAAAUCAGGUCUUUUUUUUAAUAAAGCAUUGCUUUGGGUCGGAAAUUUAUUUGGGUCAACCCUGAAUUUUUUGGGCCUCAACAGAUCCAAAACACUCUUACUUACAAUUUAAUUUUUACUUCACAUUCAUUUAUAUAUAUGUAAUUUGAUUAGAUAAUAUAUUGAAUGCUACGUCACCAAUUAAUUUAUCAAUAUUCACUCGUCACAUCAUAUUUAUUUUUAACAUCCUCAACUUUCUAAUUUAGUAUUUGUGGUAAUUCAAGAGCCACCGCAACAAUUUCGUCCCAGCAUCACGCUGCUGCCACCACCUGCCACUCCCCAACGGUUAACCAAACAAUGUAUAAGUUCAGGUUAUGAACCGUUGCGAAAUCACCGUGAAUUAACUUCAUUUGCUUUAACUAAUGAUGUUUAAUGGAUAUCACUAUUCAAGCAAACUAACAGUUUUAUCGGUUAUCAAAUUAAUGAAGUUUAGAAAUCUUCUUUCGCAUGUUUGUUAGAAUCUAGUUAUUCAGGUUUUUAACCGUUUUUGGUAGUUAUUUAGUUUUUUUUUAACAAUCUCUAGUGGUUUACAGUUUCCAUGGCCUUCUACUUUAUAUCCCAACUCUCUCACACAUUUCCACAAACCCAUCUCUCUUUCUCUCUCAAUUUCCUAUCAUCAGCCGUGGAAAUUAAUGCAAAAGCUGAUCAGCACUCAGCUACCAUGCCCCUACUCCCAGUUUCAUAUAGCCCGUCAAACGACAACGUUUCGCAGUCUGUUAAAUCAAGACGCAUUUCCAAAUUAUCCGUCUUCCAACCCAUUAUUCUAUUAUCACCUACAUUAUUAAUAUUUGGGACCUUGGCAUUGCUGUGCAUUUUCAUGUCCUUAUUGUCCCAAGUUCAUCCACAAGCCCCAAAUGUCCAACUAAACUCGCUCUUCAUGUCCAAAUUUAACAUCUCCAACACAACAUUGGGGGCUAAUUGGGACAUGACCCUUACAAUAGACAACCCCAACCUGCUCACAUGGGUUCGUUUCAACCACAUCAAGGGUUCAAUGUCGUACAAAGAUAACAUCCUCGCGAUAAGCUCCAUCGAGCCAUUCAUGUUGGGAUUGAAGGAACGAAGAACGGUGAGGGUGAAGAUAUCGACGAUGGGGUUGGGGGAAGAGGAUCGUGAUCAUCAGCUGGUGGUGAAGAAGAGGGUUUUGGAUGAGAUGAUGAGCAAGAGACGUGAGGAUGGAGCUGUGCAUUUUAGCAUGCAAAUGUUUGUUUGGGCCACGUAUAGGACUGGUUUGUGGGGGACACAACAAGAUGUUGUGAUGAGCCCUCAGUGUUUGGAUUUGAAGGUUGGGUUCUCGCGUGGAAUUGGGUUCGGGAGUGGGAUUAGUGGAGGGCCUAUGAUGUGUUCUGUUCCUAUAUUAAUUAAUUGACCAAAUUAGACUUUUUCUUUCUUUUUUCAUGUAGAGGUUUUUAGUUUUAGAUUGUUAAUUUGAUCGAUGUAGGAGAAUCAAAAUCGAACCUGUAAAUUAAGAACAAAGAAAUGAAUUGUUUUACGCAUCAAAAUUGAAGGUGAAUAUGAACGUGAUGUUAUGAAAUUCUUUGAUGAUCUUUGUCUGGACUUGGAUAAAUAAAAAAGUGUAUACUAGUGAUUUAUCUUAUGAAUUUGUACUUAACUUUUGAUUUGCCCUAUCUUUUUUUUUAAAGAAAAUUAAGGAUAUAAACUUUUUUUUUCCGUCAAUUUCUCCCUUACCGUCUAAAUCCACAACAUUUCAUCUAAUUUGUCGUUAAAUAUGAGGGCAAAUUGGUCAUGUUGUACUUCUAAAAUAAAAUAAUUUGAACUUUGAAAUAAUAAUAAAUAAUGAUAGGAAAAAAAAAGGUUUUUUUUUUUUUUUUUUUUUUAAGAGUAGAGAAAAUGUCAUCCUCAGACUUCCUAUUAGCCUCUGAAUUUCUGCUUACCAACUCCACUUCCUAUAAGCUUCAUACCAACCCCUUUCUUCCCCAAAAUUGAACACAUCCCAUACAACAACACCAAAACCUCCACCAUAUAUUUGAACAAAAUCCCCCAUAUGUACUUAUUUGAACACACACAAAAAACCCAGAUCCAUUUGAUCAAAAAUCGCACAAGGGGCAGAGGGGUUGUGGUGAGGUGGGUGAUUUUGUGGUGUCAGGGAUGGACCUGGGGUUUGGGGGAAGAGAGAGAGAGUGUGUGAUGGUUGUGGGGUGGUGGCUGUGGGAGGGUGAGUUGUUGAGAGAGAGAUGGAGAUUGCGAUGGAUAAAGGGGUGGUCGUGGGUUUAAGGGUGUGUUGUGAAAAGGAAGGCAGCGACGGUGGGAAGGGGGGAUGGGUUGCGAAUUAGUCUUGGGGUGAGUUGCAGGUGGGAAAUGGGUAGUCAGGUUGGGGAAGAAAAAGAGAGAAGGGAGGGGGGUUCUGUGGGUAGGAUAGGUUUUUGUUUUGUUCCUUUUUUUUAUAAUUUUUUCUAAAAAUAUAAAUUUUAUUUUAAUAAUUUAACUGAAAAUUGGAUGCAAUGUUGAUGAUUUAGACGGUAGGGAGAAAAUUGGAGAAAAAAAAAUUUUAUAUUUUUAAUUUUCUAAAAAAAAAAUGAUAGGGGGUCAAUUGAAACCAAGGUAUAAGUCAAGGGACAAAUCACUAGUAUACCAUAAAUAUUUCACUACAUAAAUGAAAUAAACAGAAGAUUUCUAGAAUUUACACGUGCUCUUACAGAAAUUUCAUUAAGUAUUUGGUGUGCAAAUGAAUUUUUAUUAAUUUACUAGAGUCACCCUGAAAAUAAAAUAAUUAUCAGAAUAUAACUCAAAUUUAAAUCUCCUUUUUUUCUAUUAAAAACAACUAAUCCUCCUCGUAAAAAUAUUUACUCUCCUCAUUGUUUUUCGGUUGGAUCCUCCACUUACAUUAUAAUUGUAAUUUAUGCUAAUAGGGUCUAGUUCAGUUAAAAAAUACUUUGAUUUGCAAACUAUUGGUCUCAAGUUUGAAUCAUAUAGCACCGUGAUAGGUCUAUAUGAGAAACCCCACUCUCUAUAGUUUGGACAAAAAUUAUUGAUAUUUGAUCUAUCCUUUCAGAUGUACUUGACUCUUUCCAAACUAUUUGCACUUGUGAAAGGACACGAACUGCAAACAUCACUUCGUUUUACCAAAGCCAAAAAACGUCUUCAACCACCACGCGUAUAUAUCCUUCAAAACAAAUAAAAUAAUUGCCCUGCAAACGCAACUUGAUUUUAACCGCUGCCAUCUUCCCUCAUUUGUUCCUCUCUUCUCCCUCAUCAUCUCCACCUUUCUCCCAUCCAUUAUAAAUCCUUAAAUUCAGUAACUUAUAAUUAGUACUGGGAAUUUUGCUUCACAUAUUGGAUUGAUUCAAGACCAAGGAAACUUAGCAUCACAAGGUACGGCUUUCUUUCUCUAUCUUUAAAUUGUUAUAAACUUCGUCUGGGUAAAAUUAAGUUGUCAAAAUCAGUAAUUUGGUGAACGGUUAUAAAAUCCAAGUCUUGCAAAUUGUCUCUUUGAUUUGUCCUCUUGAAGCUUCUUAUUUGAUUAAUUAUACCAAGUGAGUAAUCUAUUUGGAGAGUGUCUUACAAGUAUGUUUGUAGCAACAAAUACCCUGCAAUACUGCAUUUAAGAACAAACUACCUACUGCCAACGGGGUCUAGCCUAGUGGUAAAGGGCCUUGACUUGCAGAUCAGAGGUUUCAGGUUCAAAUCUCACGGCAUCAUAGUAGUGUGUGUGUGAGAAAUCCCCCACCCCUGUAGUUUAGACCAUCACUUGUACUAAAAAAAAAAAAAAACUAUUGAACAAACUACCUACUACAUUUUAUUUCUAAUUUCUUGUUAGACUUUUUAUAGCUUUGGCCGAUCACUCUUUUUUUUUUCUUUUUUUUUUGGUUGUGAAAUUAGUAAAAUAGUAUUUUUAAAUUGAGGAAUUAACAAUUUUAAUUCGGUCUAUAGAUUAUAUUAAAAAAAAUGAUGUUCUAACAUGUUAUAUAUUGCUAGACUACGAACCACGAGUAUUCUCUUUCACUGAAUAAUCGGUGAAAAUUUCCCUAACAUAUCCAUCUUGAACUUUGUAUUCUCUCUUUCAGGAAGAGUUAUGCAUGGCUUCUUUGUGGUGCAAAAAGUCUCCAGAUUGCAGUAAAAUUCGUGGAUACAUCCUGCUUUUUGUUAUAGUGGUGAGUCUAGCAACAGUCAUCGGAUUUUCUCUCUGGUUCUUAGGCAACUAUGUGGAUUCAAAGUCCGGCCCAGGAACAGACCCCCUUGUGCUUCGUUUGGAUGCAUUUUCUCUAUCGAAUUUCGAGGUUUCGAAUUCAUCAUUCUCAGCUGAAUGGGAGGCCAAGUUGACAUUUGGGAACCAAAACGGUGGCCUAACUGUUACCCUCAACCCCUUUGAGAGUUAUGUGUUCUAUAAAGAACGUGAGGCUCUAUCAUGUGCUUCUGUGGAUGCAAUGUUGCAUGUUCCUCCAAGGAAACAGAAAACUCUGCAGAUCAAAUUUGAUCCGACAAGUUGCGGAGGAGAACAGCCGUAUGUGGAGGAUCGAGUGAUGAAGGAGUUGAGUGAAGAUCGAAAGAGUGGUCACCUUAGCUUUAGUUUGAAAAUGCGCAUAGAUGCUUCUUAUAGUAUGAGGGAGCUUUUGGGAAUGGGAACCCAAGUGACUUUAAAUCCUAACUGUUCAGGGUUGAAGGUUCAGUUUGAGGGUGCAAAAGGGGAGGGAAAGAUAAAUGGGGGCCGCAAGUGCACCAUUCCAUUACCUAAAUGAUCAUGCAAUUCUUACCGUAGGUAAGGGCCGGCUCUGAAAUUUUAAGGGAUUAUAGCAGGCGAAGAUAAGCUCAUGAAAUAGGAUUAAUGUAAAUUUCGUAUAGAUAAGUUGUUUAUUUCAAAAAAAUUGAGUCCUUUUUACUUGGGCCAGAGCACUUGAAAAAAGUAGGCAAAGCCCAACUUGUGAGAAAUUCUUGUGAUUUAAAAGUAGCAGGUUUUGCUAUAUAAGGAAUUAUUAACUCAACAAGUAACGGAUGUCACGUAAAAGGAAAUCAAAUCAAUGUGAUUUAAUUUUCUGGUUUUCUUCUCAUUUUAAAUUUUAAGCACCCUUGCAUUAAAUCAUUGAGUUUAUGCCAAAGGAUGCCAAUUAGCAUUAACACUGAGCUUAUCCAUUUUUGACCUCCAUGAAUUAAUGACAUAAAUUUUUUGAACCAAAAUGUGCACUGAUUCUCUGAAUUUGACUGCCAUUUCAAUAUUAGUUUUUCCCAAUACUCUCCCAUUCACACCUUAACUCAUUGCAGAAAAACAAAAAUGGGCCCUUUGUGGUCUCGUCGCCACAAGGCACUGGCGGAAGAAAUGUCCUUGAAAUUGGCUGCUGCUACAAUCCUCAUCACAUUACUUGCAUUUGUCACCACCGUAUGCUUGUCGUUGAACGGCGGCGUUCGAACAUAUCCCAUUGCCAUUGCUCAGCACUCUUUCUCUGUCUCAAACACAACGAAACUCGUCUCUGAACUGCAGAGCGCUGUUUGGGAUGCAGAGUUGAAGUUCAGCCAGAACAGUGAUCUGCAAGUUCACAUCAAACACUUUCAGGGCUUCGUGUACUACCCGAAAUUCGAACCGCUGUGGUGUGCCUCACUGAAGCCAGUGGACGUUGAGUUCAGGAGCCCAAAUGGGCUGCACAUAAGAUUUGAUAUGAGAGAGUGUGGGGAGGAAGGGCUCGGGGUUUCGACAGAGGAAGCUCUGAAGGAGGUUCGUUUGGAAAUGAAAAUGGACCUGGUUGUGCCUUACCAGUUUGGAAAGACCAGAAUUUGGGCCUGGCUUUGGGGAUUGAGUGUUGAAGAAUCUUGUUCUGAGUUGAGAGUUGAAUUUGUGUCUUCGGUUGGAGAGGGGAAACUGAUUGGUGAGGGAGGAUGGUGCUUUGUUCCAUUGCCUGAGUAAUUUUGAGUUAUGAUCAACUCAUGCCAAUCUAAAUAAUCUUUGUUUUUGCUUCCCCUUUUAUUUAAUUUUGUUUUGUUUCUCCUCUAAAUUAUUACCUCACAGAAUUAGGCAUCAAGCAGACAGACACAAAGAAGAGAGUUUGAGUCUCCACUCUCCUCUCUUUUUUUUUUAAUACGCAGAAAAGAAAAAUAUGAAACUGACAGGAUCACCCUCCAUUCAUACUGAAGGAGACGAGGUUACGUGACUUUGCAGUUUUCAUAGUGAAGUUUGAAAAGGGUCAAAUAAUGCCAAGAUUUUGUCACUUUCUUCGUUUCAAUGUUAAAUGUCCUCGAUUAUCACAAUCAUGAUUCAUCACGCCUCGUUUACUUCUUUAGCUUUUAUUUCCAUGUUCGAUUAAUUUCUUAAUCCCUUCAUUUUCUCCCUUGAUUGUUUCCUUUAAAUAUUCUAGUUUACCAUUUUUAGUAUAAUUCUCUUGUAUUUUUAGUUUUCCGUGUUGGAUUAAUUUCUUGUAUAAAUACUGAAUUCUGCUCCCAGUAGCGCUAUGGGCACCAACUUUUUUUAUCAAUUUUUUGAUACCAACUUAUGUAGCAACUGACAUGGCAAUUCAAGUCAUUUGCCACCUCAUCUAUUUUAUUUGAAUAAUUUAAAUUAAUGCACAUAAUCUAUUUUAAAUUAAUUUAUUUAACUUUUAUAUAUUUAUCUCUUCUCAAGUCAUCUCCAUCAUCCAUUCCCAGCCAACAGCUCCUCCAUCGUAGCACCGCCACGAUCAUGAUGAUAGCAAAUUGAUGGUUACGUUUAUAGAUGAUAAGAUGAUGCUCAUCUCUGAUUUUGGGUUUUGGACAUUUAUGGUUCCUGGAUUUGGUUGAGAGUAUGGCGAGGAAGAAGAAUCAAAGGAGAGUAAAGGCAUGAGCAUAUAUAUAUAUAUAUAUAUAUAUAUAUAUAUAUAUAGUUCUGAUCUUUUGGACCACAGGAGUCCAAGAAAUUUGUGGUCACUCACCGUUGGAUGUAAAUUCAACGGUUCACUCACUCUUGCACUCAUUUUAAAAAACUUUUUUCAACCAUUGGAUUAAUAUCCAACGGUAGAUAACCACAAUCUCUUAGACUCCUGUGGUCCAAGAAAUCAUCGGGACUAUAUAUAUAUAUAUAUAUAUAUAUAUGAAUAGAGUUGGUGAAUCAUAGGAUCUUAUAUGCAGUCUCACACCGAUCACAUCCCAUAUAUUUGGUUUUUCUUUGGAUGAUAAUCACUGGUUUUCUUUGAACUUGGCUGGAAAACUAUUAUUGCUUUGUUGAUUAUUAAUAUUAUUGUAAAUUCUACAAAACAACUAAUUACGUUGAUACUAUGAUUGGUAUGAAAACAUUGAGGAUUUAACAAAUCAGUUAAGAGAGGUGUGAUGAGAGCUCUUCAAUGGAAGGAAUGAUUAUUGAGUUUCUAGGGCUUUUUUGGGGUUGGGGAAGGGUUCACCGUUGAACCAAAACUUAUGGGUAUUUUUCUUUCUUUUUAUUUUGUUGGACAAUUUCUCUUUCUUUUCUUUUUUUUCUUUUUUCUUUGUUCAGGAACAAAAUGUGUAAUUAAAAAAAAUGACAUGGCAAAUGACAAGGAUUGCAAUCUCAUGUACUACAUCUAUUGGAGAAAUUAUAGAAUGCUAUUGUAUUACCAUGUCAGCUAAUUAUACUUCCAUUCAAAAUAUGUCAUACGUCAUUUUAAAAAAAGUAUAAUUUUUUGUUUUACAGCUGGACUUUUGCCCUCUAGAAUAAUAUUUGAAAAAACAAAAAAACCAAAGACGCCGGAAACCAACUCCCACGACAACUCAAAUCUUCCUACCUUGCACUACCAACCACCCAACCCAAUCGCCCAAGGGUUUUGAUUGGCCACCUGGUUAAUCUAAAACAAGAACCACAUAAAGAAAUAACUGGAAAUAACAAUAACUGAUUAUUCCCUUUGUGGUUUCUGUACAAAUGAUUAUCAACAAACCAAAAAAAUAAAAUAACCAGCACACUAUAGAAACCUGUCGAGUCCCUAAACGAGCUUCAUAAUCCAUGGACUAUUGGGUUGGUGGAAGAAGUGCGAGGAUGGGGAUUGGGUUGUGGUGGGAGGUGGUUUCGAGUGGCUUCUUUGGGUUUUUCCUUUUCUAAAUUUUUUUAAUAAAAAAGUCUUAUUCUACAGUUAAAAGAAAGUAUUAAAUUCAGCUGUAAAAAAAAUUAUAAUUUUUUAAAAAAACAUGAUAUAUAGCAUAUUUUGAAUGAAAGUACCGCUAGCUGACGUGAUAGUACAGUAUCAUUCUAUAAUUCUCCAUGUGUUGGUAUCAAUUAAUUGGUAAACAAGUUAGUGCCCGUAGCAUUAUUGUUUUGCUCCUUUCAAUUAGGGAUGAGCAUUGGUGGAUCGAACAGGUUUGGACGUUACACAUCAUGUGAAUCGGAUUUAUAACCACCGAUACAUCGACAAGUCCAACUCAGUUGAUUUGCGGGUUGGGUCAGGCAGGCACCGCAAGUUGGAGGAAGGUGAAACUUGCACAGAGCCAAAUAGAUGAAGCCUUGAAGAUGGAACUUUGAACUUGGUUGGUAGGUGGCUAUGGCGGGGCGACAACUAUAUCAAGAGACAAUUUCAUAUUUGGGAGUGAGGGAAUGAGGGCCACGUCAUGUUCAUGUAUGUAACUUGCAAAAAAAUUGUACAAUUUUCCAUGGGAAAAUUAUGCUCUCCCCACGUAGCUUCUCCUCUAAUAGUUGAGGAUGAAGGAGAUAAGCAAUCAGACAAUGGGAAAAUUUUCAAGUAUGGUGUUUCGGGCAGAGGCACUCAGAAAACACACCUAAGUAUUCCCCUAAAUAAACUCAUGCUUGCAACACAUGAUCUUUAAUGUGUGCCAUUGUUCGUGGCCAUGAAGAUUGACAUGGGGGUGCUAAUAUGCCAAUUUUGCUAGCUAUAAUCCUUUUGUCUUCAUCACUUAUUUCCUUAACAUAGAUUACAACUCCUAAUUAAUUACCUUGUCCUACGCUCUUUCCGCGGCUUUUCACAGCACACCCACCUAUUUUUACACUCUCAUUUCCUUCAAUAAUUAAUCUCCCUCCAAUACACAUUUUAAUCCCCUACCCCAAAAACUCCCUCCUUCUCUCUCUCUCUCUCUCUCUCUCUCUCUCUCUCUCUCUCUCUCUCUCUCUCUCUCCCGGAAGAUUCCUGAGAGAGAGAACGAACAUCCCGUAUAUAUAAUUAAUAGCAGCACAUAUGGCUUCCACAACCGAAACUAAUCAACCCCGCUCCUCCGACCAACCCGCAACACAAUCAUCAGAAGCCCACCAACCUCGAGCCCCCAUUGACCCCUACCCCCCGCCCGCCGGGGGCACCUAUCCGCCAUCCAACAUGAGCUACGCGCACCCACAAGGAUACCCCACCGUAGCGCCCCCCUACCACGGGUACCACCCGAGCGCCUACAACCCUUAUUACGGGGACCCCUACUACACCACCACCUCCUACAACCAAGCUGACGAGGCCGCCAGCAGCUGCUUCCGGUGCUUCUGCAUCAUCAUGUUCCUCCUCGUCAUCUUCACCCUCCUUGCCAGCAUCGUCAUGUUUGUCGUGGUCCGCCCGGAAACCCCGGCCUUCAAGGUCGAGUCCUUUAGCGUCUCCAACUUCAACCUCGUCCCAGGGAGCAAAGUGCUCUCCGGGAAAUGGGAGGCCUCCAUCUACGUGGACAACCCCAGCUACAGGAUGAAGUUGGAGAUAGACAGGUGGGAGACCUCCCUGUACCACAAGGACAACUAUCUCGCGAUGGGCUCCGUCAUGCACUCCAUGAAUCUCGAAUCUCGGUCAAAAGGCACGAUGCACAUGAAGAUGGAGACGUACAAUACAACGGCGAGCAGCGCGGUAGAGGACAUGGAGAAGGAGCAGAAGGAGGGCGGGAACGUGAGCUUCAAUUUGAGGUUGACGCUUUCGUACGACAUGAAAGCCAGUGGUUUUUUGUAUAAUCACUAUAGUAACUACAGAAGUGGGACCCUCCGGGUGAAAUGCUCGGAUUUGAAGGUGCCGCUGCCGGCGGGGUCAAAUACUGGCAGCAUGCCCAGUGGGAGCUCGAAGGCAUGCGAUAUCUCCGAUGGUUUCUGAUUAUUUAGUCAUAGACGAGAAAUGGGUCGGAUAUUUUUUGUAUGGUCUCUCGGUCUCAUUUACUUUCUUCCCAUGUCUCCUCCAUAUGUGGGAAUUGUGUAUUUGGCUAACUUAUAUUAGACGAAGUCAUAUGUUCAUAAUUUUAGAAACCCUUAAAUCUGUUAAUUUUAUUGUAGAAAAUUCUUUAGACUAUUGUUUCUAGGAUUUCUUGUGCUUUGUUUAAUUUUAAUUUUGUUAUAACUAUAUAGUGACACAUAAUGACUAACUCGGGAUCUGACCGUAUUUCUCUUUUCAGUAUUAAAAGGCAUUAGUCAUAUUAUUUCAUGUUUGUAUCGAAUUACACAAUACUAACCGAAGUUAUAGAAGAUUCUUAAUCCAUUCAUUAAUCAUGUAUGGUUAACUAAAUGCAAAAUUUCUCAACUUUAACAUAAGUUACUCAUUCUUUGAUAAAAACAUAUAUAUAGUUUAUAUUCAAUUGAAUAUGUUUGGAUAAAUUUUAGCUUUCGUUAUUGACCAAUGAUAUGGAGAACACUGCACAAUGUGAUCCGCGAUCGUCCCUUCAUGUCUAUUGUUUUUGAGGCACUUUGCAAAUAAGUCUCUCCAAAUUCUAUUUCAUAAUCAAAUUUGAACUAAAAAAAUAAACCUUUAGACCCGACUUUUAUUGAAUCUAAUAAUACCAAUUGAUAGGUCAACAGCGUUUAGCUCACUGAAAAAGUGAUAUUGACAGGAGAAUAAUUAUGUAGUUUAGACUAUUCAGUCCUGAUCUCUCAGACCACAAGAGUCCAAGAAAUUGUGGUCACCCACCGUUGAAUAUUAAUCCAAUGGUUCAAAAAAGUUUCUUAAAAUGAGUACAAGAGUGAGUGAACCGUUAAAUUUACAUCCAACGAUGAAUGACCAUAAAUCUCUUGGACCCCUGUAGUCCAAGAGAUCAGAACUGCUAGACUAUUAUCACCAACAUUAGGAUGUGUAUUGCACUAAUUGUGUUUUUUCUUCGUGAAAAAGCUCCAUUAAACGAGUUGACAAAACAUCUAUAAAAAGUGUUAGGCUCAACAUUAUGCUUAAAGCAAAGGCCACCAAAAAAAAAAUAACGAAGUAGGAGUCCAACAAACACGCAUAUGUCCAUUUGGGCUUUAUCGAUUCAAAUACGCGGAGCGGGUAACCGCGAACCCGAACCCGCUUCGCAUAAGAAACAGAUAGGGACAAUGACGAGCCGACAAGUGUCACCACCGUAGAAGGCGGGGAGAGAUUCCUCAGUGCGGCGCUUCAACUUAAGUCUACGCCCUCUGCCAAACAAAAAAGAAUACAAAAAGAAAAAACAUAGAAUUACGCGUUAUUUGCCAAGCAAUUCUAUCAACAAUCAAACUGUAGCCCUCAAGCAACUUUGUGCUCUCAGAAAUUUUUUUUUUUUUUUUGUGGUAAUUUUUUUUCGCAUAGUAUAUCUAUCGUAUCGACCGACCAAACACCUCCUCCUCUACCUCUACGCCUACCUUUUAUUUUUUCCUUACCUCUCUGUCUCUUGGAAACCAAAAACUCAAUUAGCUCUCUCCGCUCUCAAAUGGCUACCUCAGCUGCCGGCGCCGAUGAUGGUCGUAACAAGACGGUGACCGGCUACCCAGUUGAGCAGGGUCAAUUCGCAGCCGGCUACCCAGCCGCCGGAGCCUACCCCUACGUGGCCCCACCGCCGCCUCCUCACGCCAACACUUACCGGCCCAUGGGCCCACCUCCUUACUACGCCCCUCGGCCCACUGGGCCCAUCACGCCCAAUAGGCCCACCCUCCUCUGCCGCCUCCUCAUUGCCGCCAUCGCCGUCUUCGCCAUCAUGUCCCUCGUCUUCUUCAUCGCCUGGCUUGCACUCCGCCCCCGCCUCCCCGAGUUCCGGGUCGAAUCGGCCUCCGUCUUCCCGCUCAACGCCACUGGCUCCGAGCUCACCGCCACCUGGGACCUCACCCUCCUUGCCAACAACCCCAACCACAAGCUCAGAAUUUACUACGACAGCAUCCAGGCCUCACUAUUCUACGGCGACGAUUACCGGCUCGCCACGACGUCGUUGCCUCCCUUUGUUUUGACCAAGAGGAACCAGACGCGUGUCGGGUUCAAGCUGGCGACGGUGGGGGAGUACGUCGGCAAUUACGUGGCCAAGGGGAUCUCCGACGAGAGGGAUCGUGGGUCGGUGAGGUUCGGGCUAGGAGUUUUUGCUUCGGUUCGGUUUAGGUCUGGAGUGUUCCAGUCGAGGCCUCGCGUGUUGCGGGUCUUCUGCGAAAGGGUCGAUUUCGGGUUUGCCCAGAAGAAUGGGACGGGGACUUUGACGGGUCAGUCAAGUCCGUGUGUGGUUGACGUGUGACUGUGAGUAUAAUUAGUCCAUUGGAUUAACACAAAUUGGUAAAUGCUAUAUUUAGUCGUUGUUCAUGAUUUUGGGUUAUGGAAUAUAAUUCGUGAUCUUCUGAAUCCAAUUUCUCUCUGUUCUUUUAUGCUAGCUAAUGAUAGUAUAUUUUUUUUCAAUUAUUUUAUUAUGAUUUCUACUAGUUUUCUUUGUUUUGGAGGUAAAUACCAUUUUCCCCGUUUUGCAUAUGCUAAUUGGCAUUUGAAGUGUUGAGAUGGGUUAGAUGAUAAUAUGGGACAUUGCCACAUUAGGUUUUGUAUUUGUGUUAGAAUAAAGAGCAAUGUGAUUGUUUUUAGUGUUCUGGGGCUUUGUCAUUGUGAUUCAAACUCCAGAGCCAGAGACUGUAGGGUAUUGAGUGUUGCUUGGUGAAGCUUUAAUCGAGUGUUGACUCAUUUGGUAGAGAUGCAUAAAUGCAUUCUGAAUGGAUUAUAGGGUUUUCCCUCCACCCUUGAAUGCCACUUACCACACAGUCACAAGGAAAAAAGUAAGUGCGCACCAACCGUAGUUGUCUCCAAGCAUAACAUUUGAAGAAACUCAUCCCUAUUGUUUGUUAAUGAUAUCAAACCAUUGUUCGUGCCUUCAAAGAUUAUGCGCUUGAGAAGAAUGGUAAAGACUUUAUUUAAGCAUUGGAUUUGUGGUAGUGGCUACUAAGCCUCUCUGUUAGGAUGUCUGUUUUAUUGUGCUUAAUGCUGGUUGUAAGUCUAGGGUUGUGAUUCAAGCUGUUGUCUUGUGAUUCAAGUCAAUAGUAUUGGAACAGUACAAGAUUUUCCUGGGGAAGGGGAGCUUGGUCUACUAGGAACUAGCAAGUAGUGUGAUUUUACCUAUGUAUUGAGAAAUUGUUUAUUGUUUUGCUCUCGAAGAAUUAAAACGAAUCUCUCUACUUACUUCAUCAUCGUAGAGAUCAAUUCUUUUUAUAGGAGUUUGGUGUUAUUUGUUCUCUCUCUCUCUCUCCGCCCAUAGGAUAACAUCAUAAUGUUUAUCUUUUCAGACUCUGAAUUUGUGCUCAUGUAAAUGUGGUGUUGAAUGUUUGCUUGUAAUGGUCGAAUUGUGCUUUAGGCACUACUGUACGAGUAACGAUUAAGAGGAGUGGCUAGGUAAAGACUGUAGUUGCAGUUAAUUUGACUUCCAAACCAUUUCUACUACAAUGUUAAGUUUCAUAGUAGGUUAUGAUUUGGGUUCAGUUGAUAUAUGAUAAUAAUAGAACUGUUGUCAAAUGUAAAGUCAUUCUCUUUCUGAUUUUGUAGCUGUUGUCAAAUGUAAAGUCAUUCUCUUUCUGAUUUUGUAUUUACUCCUUUCCUGGCUGCUUUCCAUUUAGGUUUUUUCCUUUGAAACUCAGCUGCAUGUCUUCUUGUAGGAGAAAAAACACCAAACUUUUGUUCUGGCAACAUUUUAAUUACGUCAUACUGUAUUGCAUGUUUUCUGCUCCAUUUUAACUGUGUCAAUAUGCUGUUAAGUUGGCCAAACAGGGAACUUUUUAUGUUUGCUCUGUACUACUACGUCAAAGCUUGCCUGUAUUAGCUUUCACACUUUCAGUAUAGUUCUGAGCUGAUGUAGUUGCAUUGUUAUUGUUGAAGUUUUGAUUUUGAAAAAUUCAGAAUUUUGGGCUCAGAAGCCAUGCGAGGUUGGAGAUUAGAAAAGGGGCAUUGCUCGUCUUGCCCAAUGCGUUGAUGUUACUUGUUUUUAAUACUUAAGAGAAGCAAUUAUGUGCUUCUGAAGUCUCUUAUCAUACUUGAAUUUUAGUACUGGUUUUAAACUAUUAAUCUAGUGAUGCCAAACACUGUCCUUUUGUCCUUGAUGCUGAAGUGGUUUUAGUUUUACUUUGAUUUUGAUGAUUUCAUUUCUGAUGUUUAUAGGUGUUAGAGGUUAAUGUGUGUUGAGAUUGUUUUUCUGCUCUUUUAUUUUCUGUUUGUGGUUGAAACUUGAAACAUAGAAUCAGUUUCCAAAAAAUUGAAUUCAGUAUUUCAGGUUGGUACUGUAGUUCCUAUGAUUGGUGACAUAGUUGUAGCUCAACAGGUAGUUCAUAUUUUCCUAAUUUUAAAAGAACUUUUUAUUUUAAAGGUCCUUUUAGUGACAUUUUUGUUUUUUACUUUUAAGCUUUUCUUUAACGAGGUAGAGGGGGAGAGGUGGACGGUUCUUAGGAGAAAGGUGAGGGAAAAAGGAGAGAAAAAAUACUUCAAAAGUUCUAAAAAGUAAAAAAGCAAUUUAAAUGGCUUUUAGCCUGUUACUUUUAAUUCUCUCUACUUCUCCUGUCUUGUUCAUCUCUUUCAUCUCCUCCAUCACUUUAAUUUUCUAUAAAAGCUGUUAUCAGGGAUGCCUUCACUCCGCGUUUUUCUUUUGCUGGCAUUUAUGUAGUAGGCUUCAUCUAUUAAAGAGUUAUGAUUAAUCAAGGCAUGAGGCAUCAGUUUCAGUUAGGCGAAAUUAGGUUUUCAACGAAGAAAUAAAGCCUUACAAGUUCCUCGUCAUUACUUGCAUGUACUUUGCUUUUGAACUAUUCCAUCAUCAGUUCAACAAUUGAUUGAUGUGUAGAAUUUGGUCUUGGGUGUAUUGACUUGAGAUAGGUUGAAGAUGUAUUUAGUUGGUCCAUGCUUAGAGCUCUGAUUUGCUGGCUGAAAUGGUUUAACUUUUGGAAAUUUUCCUCUCUAUUUCACCGGUUGUACAGAAUCAUGUGUCUAUUAUGACGUGACACCUUAACGACCCUAAACUCGGACUAGAAAGAGUUCAAUCCCUCCCUCCUAUAUAUAAGUAUUAGCAAUUGUAUAGGUAUCUUUGGUUCCACCGCUUGUUUAAGUAAGGAGGCAGUGGGAUGAAGUGGUUGCUUGGCCGACAGAGCUUUCUGGGGUGGCCUAAAUAACUUUAUGAAAGCCUAUAUAUUAUGCAGAUAGCAUUGGCAAUGGAAUUAUUUAUAAACUAAUAACACUUUGAUUAUAUCUUAUAAACAUGAUAAGAUUCUCAGACACGAUAAUAGUGUACAUAUUUGUAUAUCUCCAGUUGGACAUGAUUAGGACGCUAGUGGAUUGAGAGAGAUUGACAUUGAUUUUUAGUGCAUGUAAAAGUAAUUGUGUAAAUAUCUGGGAUGUUUCUUCUUUUUUUUCUUUUUCUUUUUUUCUGUUUUCUUAUGGGCCCGUGAAGAAACAGCAUUGGAAUGAAAAUUCUGUGUCCAAAUUAGGAACGCGUGAGGGAUGAGACAUGGUUGCCCUUUGUCAUUUUCUACUGCUGAUUAGGACAAUCAGAAUGUGGAGGGAGCUAUUUGAUUGAUGAUUGAACAUAAGAAACUAAUCAAAUUAUCUGUUGUGAAGUUUAAUAAAAGAAGAGACACAAAUCUACAAGUCUCACGCAAUGAAAGCUAAAUCCAGAUUUAUUUUUGUAAGAAAACAAAGUCGUCCUACUAGCAAUUGACUGAUUUCACUUGACCAAAAGGUUGGGAUAGCAAUUUUUCCCGUCACACCCAAUCUCCACAUUGAUCUGUCCCGAAUGGGAUGGGGAUUGAGGCUUCUGCCCUUUCUCCAUCCCAUUCCGUUUUACAACUAUCAUGUUAAAGAAUGAUAAUUGUUUUGUUGACUCUUAAAUUUAAGCUUUUAUGAAUGGGAUGUGGAAUUCGAAUCUCAAUGAAGAAGACGAUAUCCAAUAGGGUUUGAGGCGGGAUUGUGGAUAUUUAACUUUUAUGGGGAUGGGGAUGAGUGUGAAAUAAUUGUUUCUUCGAGUAAAUUUUGUUAGGGGUAUAACUUACCACGAAGCUACAAACCCAACAUUAUUGCAUAUGUUUCUUCCUUUGCAGGCGAAAUAGUCCUCUGGGAGGGUGCAAAGGAUAGGAAGCUUCUCACUGGCCAUGUGACGGCAUGUGGAAAAUACGUAACAAAAGGCUUUACUUGGUGGCGUUUACACCUACGCCAUUAUUAUUAUUAGGCACCAUUUUAUAUUUAUAUUCAAAACUCAAAGCAGUGCAUGAACUGAUGCAAAAAAACAAAAACAAAAAAGAUUUAGGGGCUUUUAAGAUAUUUCCAUGUUGAGUCGGUUAGCUUGGCAAGUCAGUUUGAUCUUAAGGCUUUUCAUAAUUCAUUCAUAAUGUAGGAAAACACUUAAAAGGAAAGUGAUUGCUUGCAUAAUUACUUAUGAUAAUUUUGAUCUCCAUUUAAAGGAAAGUGCUUGGAUGAUCCCCUUUUUUUUUUCUUCUCAAAACUUGCUUUCAAAGUUCAUUUUCCAUCAUAUUUCAACUCCUUUUCUUCAAGAUACUUCUACCAUCAUACAUCAUAGAUGCAUCCAAAUGACUAUCUAGGGUUCAUUGGCUCAUCAUCACCCACUAUUAGUUUCACUUUUUUAUUAAUAGGGUGAUCAAUUACCCUUCAAACCAAUUCAAGACAGCUUAAUCAACCCAAUUAGAUAGUCAUCAUUUUGUGUCACCAAGAAUAUUAUCCCUUUCUUUCACCUCCAUGUCUUUUCUUCCCCAUUUUUCUUCUCAUUGUUUUUGGAACUCUCCCCUUCUUAGAAUGACCCACCAAUCAAAGGGUUUCUUUCUUCUCUCUCCCCCAAUGCUUUAUUCCACCAACUUUUUGUUUUUGUCUCUUUCAUUAACCCAUGGUUAACAGAAAGAAGCAUAGCCACAGAUUCUAGUCAGAUUUUAGCAGCAAAGCGCAUGAAGACAACAAACGAAUCCAUUGGGUGCAAGUUGCAUAGAACAAUUUUGGCUUUGGGCAUUCAUAUUAACCACAAAGGUUAGGUUAAAAGUUAAUUGUGAUUUACUUAACAGAGAUUUAAACAGGAAAUUGGGAUUUGGUGGUUUCAAAGAAGAUCUUGUAGGGACAUUUGUAAUUCCCAAAGUAGGGAUAAAGAAUCAGCAUGGAUGUCAGUGCAAGUGCAGAAGAGAAUACCUUUGUGUGUGUAGAAUCUAGUAGGCAUUGGCCACAAACCACCCCACCCUUCUUUAUGGACAUUUGGGGAUAUCCUUGGCUUCUUUUUGCGGCUUCCAUGUUUUGUAAAAGUGCUUUUACCCAAGGCAUUUUCUUCUUGUUUUUAUGAGAAAAUUGAGAGAAUCAGCAGCAAAGAAUUUGGUAAAGGGCCCUCUGCAUUCUCUGGAAACUGCACUAAGUGUACUUGGUUUCUUUGGCCACAGUACAUAAGAGAUGCAACAAGAGGAAAAGAAAACAAUCAAAUAAGUUCUACAGCACCAAGUACCAAAUAAUUGAACUCCAACAUGUCUAUGAGUAAGGCUCCAAUGAUUCAAAUUUUGGGUUUGGUCGUACCCAAAUAGUAAUAUUCUAAAGGAAAAUGCAACUAAGAUCAAAUAUUUCGAGCCGCUUCCGUGAAAAAUUCAAACUUUCUUUUUUAAUACUUCAAUCACAUAAAAAUAUAAACUUUGAGAUUCAAUAGCUAAAUACAUGGCAAUUGAAUCAUGAGCCGAGAUCAUAAAGAGCAUACAAGUAUACAAAGUGGAUGUCAUUGUAGGUGUCAAAUGAGUGAAGAAGAAGAAAAGAGUCAUGUGCUUUUAGGUGUGCCAACUAAUAUUAUCUUUCCAUGGUUUGAUCUCAAGUCUCAUAUCUGGAUGUGGUUUUCUUCUCUUUGGAUUUAUAUAUGACAAUAUAUAUAUAUAUAUAUAUUUAUAUUUAUAUAUAUUUUAAAAAAACAUUUAAAACACCCAAAUUUAUACACCAGUCAUAUUUUAUACUGUAUUUCUUUUUUCUAAUAUUAUAACACUUAAAGAAAACCCAAGUAAAUGACAAAUAGUGUAUCAUAUCCACCCACCAUCUAAUAAUGCUAAAUUAGUAGAAAGUUAAGUCUUUUUUUAGCAGUGUUUCUUUCAUUUGAUCCAAGACUUUUCUACAAGAGGCCUAUGUCAGAAUUAGUUAUUUGAUUUCAUAAGACUCUGCCAGAAUUUGACUCAGCAACAACCAAUUUCUAACCAUGUGUCUUCAAGCCAAGAAAUAAGACAAAGUAGGCCCUUCUGAAGAUUUCAACUUUUGUGAAUUGCUUAACUUUGAGCAAAUUGAUGGUGCAUAGAAGAAAUUUGAUUCCCUAUAUUUUUUUCUUCUCACUUGCUAAUAUCCAGUCAUUCGGUUGCAAACGACAAUGACUUUCAUUAAAUGAAAAUUGUUUCAUAGGAAAACAUCCAAAUGGUUAAGAACUUAAAGAAAGUUGAUGUUUGAAGUAUAUUUUAGAGAGGGGAUAAGGAGAACAACACUUUCAGAAACAAUGAAGGAAGAGAAAAUUUUAUAUAUUGAUUAAGAUUAUCGACCUGAUAACGAGAGAUUCACCUUAAUCAGCGACUCAUUGUCCGUACACAUAUCAAUAAUUUUCAUGUAACGUAAUCUUGUUCGGCAAGCUUCUAUCACCAUUUGAGAGAGAGAGAGAGAAAAAAAAUUGUAUAAAAUUAAGAGGUAGAUAAAAAUUGGUCAUAGGUUUGGUCAUUGGUGGUUGAGGAGACUUUUAGAGCUCGAUGUCGAUACUAAAUGUGUGAAAAAACACAUCAUGGUCUUGUAGUUCAUAUUCACACUUGCCAACCGACAUAAUCAAUUUCUAGUUUCUACCAUCAAUAAUGUAUUGGAGUGUAGUUUGGUUUGGUGCUUUUAACUAAAAUUAGUACAUGUAUUGAAAUUAUUGCUCUCUUUUUUUGUUGCCCACGUACCCUUUUACCAUCUGCUGGGAAAGUGCAGUGCAGCUAACCCUACUUUUCCUUGAUUAAAAAAUUAUUUUUAUAAAAUAAAUAAAUAAAUAAAAAAACCGUUCUCAAUGUUGUUUUCUAAGUAACAUUUUAGGAUUUUUAAAAAGCAAAACAAAAUAAUUAAAGAAACAAAACUGAUGAAAGAAAGGCUAACAAUUUUCUUUCUGGGAAAGCAAUGGGUUCUUUAUGAAAAAGGGUUUAAGCUUUUAAUCCACCCAAACAAAGUCUUUGUUUCUAAUUCAUCAGAGGUUAUGAAAUUUUCAAUACAUCCACAUCCAAAUCAUGUUUUUUUUUUUCCUUUUUUUUUUCUUUUUUUUUUUCCUUCUAUGUUGCAUCAUUGUUAGGCUUUAGGCUUUAGGCUUUAGCUGGUGGGAGAAGUAAUAUUUUGGAACCCAGAGGUUUCCUCUGUCAUGAUAAGUGGGGCCAAGUGGGUGCAAGAGACGUGUCAAUUAGACUUUUCCCAUGUAUCCAUAUUCAAUCGGACGGUGGUGAAGAGUCUUGCUUUUCCAAACACUUUAUUGAAGUCACAAUCGGCCCAUUCACAUUCUAAAUUCUAGUAUAGAAAGAAAUUUUAAAAAAUAUGUUAUUUUCUUUAGGCUUUUUGUCUUUCUGAGUUGAUUAAGAAAAAGCAGUGAGCUUCACUUUUUGACUAAGCGAGCACAACACAACUGAGGGUCAUGGAUUAAUACAAUCGUACUCAUUAAAACUCAUUUAUAUUGUUUUUUUAUAUAAAUGAUAUUCUAUUUUAAUUUAUUUUAAACUACAUAGAGGGGUAUUCAAACUCGGAUGUAAACACUGAAAUUCACUUACAUUAACAAUGAAGAUCGAUGGCAGACAAUAUUAAUGAUAUUUUAUUACAUAUAUAACUAUAUAUCUUGAAGCUAAUGCCAAUAGCGUAUUACUUGGAUCUGGUUUUGAAAAGAAUUAGGGUUUGAGCAACAAGAUCUUUCUUAGUGACUUGAGCCUCUAUAGUUUAUUGAAUGGACUUUAAUUUUGAUUAGUUGUAAAAUAAAGAAGAUUAAUAACUUGUUUUGAAACACUGAAACACAUGAGGUUUUUGAGGAGAAUUAUGAAGAAAAGAUAUGAACCAACCAUUGAGAUAACAUGUGGGUGAGCUCGACAAACAAUUUGAAAUCCUGUUUGUUGAAUAAAGCCAAGCAUAGAAAACGAUUGGUCUUAACCCAUCACACCAUAUGGGCAUCUUAACUAGGACACAUCAUGCAGUGAACAAAAACCCAACAAAUUUCAUCUAAGUUAUUUAGAUCAAAUCAUAUAAAUAAUAAACCCAAUUAGUAGCUAUAAUUGAUGAGCCUUGUCAAGUGACACAUGAUGACAUAAGGUAUUUGUGUAAUUUAAUUGGUUAAUGCCCAUGGUUAUGAUUGAGUAAUAAGAAAAACCAAACAAUGCCUUGGUACUGAAAAUUGAUGGGUCACCAAUUUCCACUACCUUGCUACACUACCACCAAACAACUCAAAAGCAACCAAAAAGUUCUUUAAAAAAUAAAAGUUAUUGGUUAGUGCUGGUUAACGAUUUAUAAUAUUUGGUUCAUUGUCGAUUAUUUGAUUGUUAUUAUAAAUAUUAACUUUAAUAGACAGUUACUCAUAUAAAAAAUAGAAAUUCAGAGUAAUUUUGGAAUGAGACCGUAAUCUAAUAUUAAACAUUUUUUUUACGCGAAUAAAAAACUAAUUUUCCUCAUAAUUAGUGAAAGUACUUUGAAAUGUCCCUAAACACAUUACACCUACUUUAGCAUACUUGCUUUUCCACCAUACAUACAUGAUCACAUAGAUCAUCAUCAUCUUCAUUAAAAACCAUGUAAUAUAUAUACCCCCACACACAUCCCCAACCAAAGCUCAUUUACUAAAGGGUCAACUCUCAAACCCAACUCUAACUCAACUCCAACCGUCCUUCCUCUCUCUCUCUCAGUCUCCCUCUCCACCUCCACCGCAAACUACCGCGGCCGCCGCCAUGUCGUACAAGGACUGCGGCCAACACGGAUACAACAAGCGGCGAAGGAGGUUUAAACGCUGCUGCGCCGGGCUCCUAAUCUUCAACUUCAUCCUGCUCGUCACCAUCCUCAUCGUGUGGGCCAUCCUCCAGCCCUCCAAACCCCGCUUCAUCCUCCAAGACGUCACCGUCUUCAACUUCAACAACUCCGUACCCAACGUCUUCUCCUCCAGCUUCCAGGUCACCGUCUCCUCCCGCAACCCCAACGACAAGAUCGGCAUCUACUACGACAGGCUCAACAUCUAC
rnacentral:lncRNA from 1 species